UACGGGGGGGGAAAGCGUUGUUCGGAAUUACUGGGCGUAAAGGGCUCGUAGGCGGCCAACUAAGUCGGAUGUGAAAUCCCCAGGCUUAACCUGGGAACUGCAUCCGAUACUGGAUGGCUUGAAUCCGGGAGAGGGAUGCAGAAUUCCAGGUGUAGCGGUGAAAUGCGUAGAUAUCUGGAGGAAUACCGGUGGCGAAGGCGGCAUCCUGGACCGGCAUUGACGCUGAUGAGCGAAAGCUAGGGGAGCAAACGGG
rnacentral:rRNA from 1 species